rnacentral:rRNA from 1 species
UACGGGGGGGGCAAGCGUUGUUCGGAAUUACUGGGCGUAAAGGGCUCGUAGGUGGCCAACUAAGUCAGACGUGAAAUCCCUCGGCUUAACCGGGGAACUGCGUCUGAUACUGGAUGGCUUGAGUUUGGGAGAGGGAUGCGGAAUUCCAGGUGUAGCGGUGAAAUGCGUAGAUAUCUGGAGGAACACCGGUGGCGAAGGCGGCAUCCUGGACCAACACUGACGCUGAGGGAGCGAAAGCCAGGGGAGCAAACGGG